UGGAUGAGCACUGGACAACUCUUUAGGAAUCUAUCACUCAUCUUGGUGUGACCGUAGCUGAAAGCACUUCUAAACAAAGGGGAAACUCUUCUGUUUCAUGCCUGCACACACAAAGCCACCUGCCUGGAAGCCAAAAUGGAAGAUAAGGCAUCUGUUCUGAGACCACUGCCUAUGGCCGAGGCAUCUGGAUACUGGCGAGCAUUUAUUUCACAAGAUUGCAUCAUGCAGCCCUUGUCAUUCAAGAGAAGACUCAAAAACUUACUUUCUGGACUAGUAUGGUAAAAUAAUAAGAUGGAGCAAUGAGGAGAUGUGUGAGAAAAUGCAACAGAAGUAGCA